CACCGAAGUUAAGCAUCAUUGGGCGCGGUCAGUACUUGGGUGGGUGACCACCACCUGGGAACACUGCGUGCCGUU